GCCAUGAGGGGACGGUCUGUCUGCUUGGAGGGGCUUCUGCAAACAUUCAUGUAUGCCCCUGGUUUCGUUUGUUAGGGAGGAGGAGUGGGGGUGGCCUAGGGAGAGGAUGAGGAAGGGGUUCUGGGUGGCAUCCUUGGGGUACUAACCCUCCCUUCACCCUGUGCUCUGAAUUUCCUCAUGGCCCUUUUCUUUCCCUGGUAGAAGGUGCAGAAGGUAGGCUUUGCCACCUUCCCUGGGUCUGGCACCAAGCUUGGGGGUCUUGUACACUUUCCCUUCUCUAACUGGGAUGUGGGCCCAUUUCCCUAGAUGAGCUUGCUGAGACUCAGGACAGCUGGUGUCAGAGCUGGGACUUCCCAGUCUUGCACAAACAACCUGUGCUUUUUUGAGUCCACCAAAUAAGGCCUCCUACCUGGUCCGGUUCAUCCCUGCCAGCGCCCAGCAGAUGCAGCCUGGUGCGUCCCCACCCCUGCCAAGUGCCCAGGAGUGCUCUGGAAGAGGAGUGCAGGGAUGAGGAAGGAGGCUGUGCCCUCCAGGGGACUCAGCUGCGUUAGAGAAGGUGCUGCUGUGCUGGCGGGGGUCUCCGGACAUCCCAGGCAGGGGUCGUUUCUGAUCAGGGAUCUCUUCACCAGACCACCAUAUUCCUUUUCCAGCCCUCGUCUCUUGCAUGUGGGGGUGCAGUAUUUGGCUCUCACAUCCCCACAUUCCAGCUGGUGGGGGUUUGAGCUGGAUGUUCCUUCUGCUCCCCACUCCCCACUCCUGGUCCCCACCCCAUGCAAGGCUCCCUUGCCCCCACUCUUUGUCUCCAGCUUUCACAGCCUCAGUGGGCAGGCACCUGGGCCCCUUGCCGCCCCGGGUCUCAUCCACCCGCCUCUUCUUUCUCAGCCUGAGCUUUACUGUGAGGUCUGGGAGUCACACCUUGGUCCCUGCCAUGCCUGUCCCCAGGAGCACCCACAUGGGUCCCCUGAUUCUCCCCUCCCCUGGGCUUUGCUGAGGAGCCCUUGCAGUGUGGCCUUGGUGUCUGCCCCAUGCCCAUCCCCUGUUCUUGAGAACCUGGAAGCAGAGGGGGCCCCUUCUAUUGCUCCCAAGGGGCUCCACAGUAGGAGAUUCUGAGUCUGUGUUUAGGUGUCUAUUCCUGGAUGGGGCUUGGGGUCCCCUCAGGCCAGGCCUGUGUGUGACCUAAGGCUGGGGGGGCUCUAUUAGGCACCUAGUGUCCCUUGGAGUUGGGCGGGGCUGGGUCCCGGACUCCUGAGGGUGGGUGGGGAGACAGGCUCAGGGAGAUUUCCAUGAAGCUGCCCUUGAACCCCUGCUCUGAGGCCUGCACUGCCCUGACCCUUUACACCCUGCCUCCUGCACUAGUAGGCGCCUAGUAGAUGCUCGCCACCUGUGGAGGGCGGGGUUUAAAUGGCUGGAAAGAGCUGAGUGGGCUGGUUGGCUAGUGUACGUGCAUUUGUUUAAGAGGAAAGGGUGUGUUUCUUGGCAAAGACUCUUCGGAGGAAACUCUGAACUGGGGAAGGGUCUCUACCUGUUCUGGAGCCUCACUGCCCUUCCUGCCAGUCUGGGGACAAACUCACUGGUGGGUUUUCCCCAGUGGAAACACAGUGUUUUGGAAAUAUUUAGAUCUAGGAUAAAACUUCAUCUGGACCAACAUGUGUGUGUUGGUGUUGUGGCCCAGGUGAUUUUGAGAAUGUAGAAUACAUUUGGCAAUUUCCAAAUGGAGGGAUGACCUGCUCCUCCGCCCCCCAUGCCCUCCCUGAGGCUGGAGACCUCAGAAGCCCAUGCCUUGGGAGGAGCCUGUUCCACCUGAGAAGGCUUUGUCCCCACCAUUGGUGAUAAUCAGCGUUGACCUGUGAGGCACCUGCCAGGUUUGGGAUGCAGCCUUAGAUAUUCCAAAAACUGGGGGUUGAGGAGUGGGGGGAUCAGACCCCAGAGCUUGAGUCCUUUUGUCUGUCUCAGUCCCGAAGAAUGGUGCAUGGGCACCAGGUAGGUUACUUGAACCACCCUGAGCCUCGAUUUUCCCACCUAUUAGAAACGGGGUAAUUCAUGACAGUGUCUGCUCGGGAGAUGGCCGUGACCCCGAGAAUCCUGGCUGCAUGCCUUAGGCUGGCUCGUGAGACUCAAGGUCUGGGUUCAAGGCCCCCCCAACCCCUUCUGACUGUGUGGCCUGGGCGAGUUUGCUGUUUUUAACCUGGAAAGCAUCACACUUGCCUGGCACGGUUAUUGUGGGAUUCAAUGAGAUUGUUUGUGUGAAAUAAAUGCUUUGUGACCUGGCACACAGGCGCUCUCACCCCGGCUCUCCUGGUGGGCCUGGACCGCUGGGUACUGGCUGCAGAGGCCCCUGUGCUCCUGGAACUGUCUGCGCUGGUCCCAGGGACUCUCGAGCAGAGUGGAGGGCAAGGGGGGAAGCACCAGCCUGCUCUGGGGAGACAGUGGCAGAGGGAAGGGUUUGCUUUUAAAUACAGACACUCAGCAGGUUCAGAUGGGAGAUGAUCAGAGGGGAAAUGUUUACAACCCUCAGGAGGAGGAGGAGUCCGAGUUUUAAGAAAAACACCAAAGCUGGAUAGGUUGGGCAGAAGAGCUGGGGAUAGCAUUUUUAGAAAGGAUGAGAUUCCUGGGUUCUGGGUUAUCAAGGUGAGAGAAAUCAGGGGUUGCCAGCUGUAGGUGGGCGUCAGGACCAGAGUGAUGCUUCCAGAAGUUUCUACAAGUGGGCAGAGUCCAAGGUACGGCAGGGUACACCAGAAGUUGAGGGGCACUAGGUAGACGGGCUGAGCUGGUGGCUGGGUGCUCCCCUCACCCUCCAUGCUGCUAGGAGCCCCUGAGCACGGACUCGCUCUCUUCUCCUCCCUCCUGGGGCCUGCCUGUCUGUCUGUGAACUCUUGUCGGCCAGCGAGGCCGGGAGCAGGUGGCCUUCAUCUGCAACUGUGUCUCUCUCAGCCUCCACAGCCACGGGGACGCCCUGCACCUAUUCCCACGGGACAGGCUGGACCCAGAGACUCUGGACCCGGGGCCUCCCCUUGAGUAGAGACCCGCCCUCUGACUGAUGGACGCCGCUGACCUGGGGUCAGACCCGCGGGCUGGACCCCUGCCCACCCCACAGGAACCCCGAGGCCUAGGGGAGCUGUUGAGCCUUCGGUGUCUGCAUGUGGGAAGUGGGCUUGUUCACCUACCUCACAGGGCUGUUGUGAGGGGCGCUGUGAUACGGUUCCAAAGCAUGGGCUUGGCGCACCCCACUGUGCUCUCAAUAAAUGUGUUUCCUGUCUUAACAAAAA